rnacentral:rRNA from 1 species
UACGUAGGGGGCAAGCGUUGUCCGGAAUCAUUGGGCGUAAAGAGCGUGUAGGCGGUCCGGUCAGUCGGUUGUGAAAGUCAAGGGCUCAACCCUUGAAUGCCGGCCGAUACUGCCGGGCUAGAGUCCGGAAGAGGUGAGUGGAAUUCCUGGUGUAGCGGUGAAAUGCGCAGAUAUCGGAAGGAACACCAGUGGCGAAAGCGGCUUCCUGGUCCAGCACCGACGUUCAGGCACGAAAGCGUGGGGAGCAAACAGG